UGCCAGACUCCUACGGGAGGCAGCAGUGGGGAAUAUUGCACAAUGGGGGAAACCCUGAUGCAGCGACGCCGCGUGAGCGAUGAAGUAUUUCGGUAUGUAAAGCUCUAUCAGCAGGGAAGAAGAUGACGGUACCUGACUAAGAAGCCCCGGCUAACUACGUGCCAGCAGCCGCGGUAAUACGUAGGGGGCAAGCGUUAUCCGGAUUUACUGGGUGUAAAGGGAGCGUAGACGGCGAUGCAAGCCAGAUGUGAAAGCCCGGGGCUCAACCCCGGGACUGCAUUUGGAACUGUGUGGCUGGAGUGUCGGAGAGGCAGGCGGAAUUCCUAGUGUAGCGGUGAAAUGCGUAGAUAUUAGGAGGAACACCAGUGGCGAAGGCGGCCUGCUGGACGAUGACUGACGUUGAGGCUCGAAAGCGUGGGGAGCAAACAGGAUUAGAUACCCCAGUAU
rnacentral:rRNA from 1 species